UAGACCCCUGCAGCCCCUCCCCUCACCUCGGAGCUCCUUUCCCCCCCUCCUAUGGCAGAGAUGCCGCCGCCGCCCCCUUCGGCCUUCUUCUCCCUGCGGCUCCCCCCCUUCCUCCAUUCGUCUCCCGUAGGCCUCCCGAAGACUGAUGAUGCCGCCGCCGUCCCCCUCUCCAGCGCAAGAGCCCCGUCGGCGCAGUCCUCUCCUCGCCAUGCUCGACCGCCGUAACCUCCCCAUGGCGCCAGCGUUUCGGACCUCCUUGAGCAGCCUCACAACCCCCCUCGGGUGCGGUGUGACCUGGCCGAGCCUCUGAACUCGUCAGCCGCCCCCCUAGAGCGAUGGCCGCCGGCCCCGUGUGCCCCUCACCUCCUGGUGUCUCGUUAGAGAAGAAGAAAGAAGGAAAGAGAAGCAGAUGUAGUGGUCUCGCGUGGCAGCCCCUCAGGCGCUGACCUAGUGGCCUCGUUGCCAGCGGCCCUUCCCGAGUGCACCGGUUCCGACGAUUCGUAUCCGGCGGAUCGUAGCAUUUUCAUUCAGUGCAUCUGUCCUCACCAAGGUAAGCCAACCUCUUAUCAUGAAUCCGAGACUUCUAUGUUGACUUUGGUUGCACCCCGUGUGUGUACGUAACUGUAGUAUAUUCAUGUGUUUGUUUUUUGUGCAUUUCUUGUGUGUCUUAUAUAUGAUCUUAUAGCUUGCCAUGUCAUUCCUUUAUUUUAUAAUUUCUUUUGCUAGAUUAGCUAUAUCACUUUUAUUGGAAAUAUGAUAUUGUUAUUCUCAUUUAAUCUUAUGUCAUGGUUAUCAAUGCUAGCAUGAUUUUGUUACAUUGAUAUGCUUGCACCAAGUAUUGCCUUGCCUCACAUGUUAUAACUUUUCACUUGAGAAGCUUGGUGUUAUUUGUUGGUUAAUGUAUUUGUAUGUUGCAUGCUCAUUGAUGCGUCCAUGUUAAUAAUGCUCAUAAUGUUAAUGAUGAUGGAGAGGAUAAUAAUGUGACUCAAUAAUAAUAAACCUCCUAAGCUAUCCAUGGGAACGAGUCAUAGUGCCACCAAACCGAGCUUAUUCAGUGCAUCCACAUUUGCCUUUAUGGAAAGGUCCUAAUUUUGUCUAUUGUCAUGCCUCACACGGGUGCAUCCCACUGGCGAUGGUUAUGUGCUCACACUACCCUUUCCUGGAAGGCAGAAAUAACCUUGUGUGCCCAUGUUGGUAUUGAGGUCAUAUCCCUGUUUGGGAACGUUUUGUUUUGCCACCACAAUGGGCGGUGGAUGUCUAGAGUGGCAUCGGGACCAACCACGACUUAGCCCAAAGGGGAGUUUGUUGGAGUGGCCGGGAUAGUGUCAUACAAUAGAUCAGGUUUGUUGGAAUGCCGUUGGUCCACUCGAAUGGGAGCACGAGGCCUUGGAUUCCCUAGUGUGGUUAUAGUGUACUAACCUCUGCAGAGUGUAUUACCCAUAGUCGCGUCCUCGUACAUGGAUAAAGUUCCUACUAGGUCACACUAUUAGGUUUUUGUCGACAUGGAGGAUAAAUCUGAUAUAAUUAAUUUGAUAAGUAAUUUGCUAUAAGUAAAUGAUGACUUGGACUAUGAGAUAGUCGCAAGAGGUCACAGAGUUGUUUCGGACAAAGAUCACGCGAUGAAAUCUUGAUGAUUCAUGAGUUGGACUUGACUAGCAGUGGCAGUAAAGGUGAUGGAUGAACCGUAUGUUAUUCUUAUUCUUCACGGAAGGUAAAUGGUAGUUUACUUUUCAGUAUAGUUUCAUUCACUUCUCCAUGUCUUGUAGAUACAAUUAUUCAAUGCCAUGCUAUUAGUGAAAUGCCAUGAUAUGCCCUGUUAUGAUAUGCUAUGCUAUGCCUUGUUAUGACAUUCCCAUGUUACAAUAUGUUAUCAUAUGUCAAUGCUUACUUUGACUCAUGUGAAUACCAUAUCAUACUUAGCUAUUAUUAUGAGUUAUGUUCAUAUGUGCGCAUGGGACUUGCUUUGUCCUUUGUUUGUUUGGAUACUAUGUAUUUGGUUGUCUUGCAAGUACAUUUAAAGUAUCCACCUCGCCUUUCACAUGGUCAGUGUGCACAACAAAAUUUGUUAAGCUAGCCCCAAUCUUGCUAGUCCUAUGAGUUUUGGAGCCCAUCCAGAGUCGACUUGCCAUCAAAUCCAAACUUUUGCCACCAUUUAGAUAAUUGUAGAGGUGUGCCACUCAUUGUAUUCAUGACAAUGUAAUGCUCUAUGCCAUGUAAAUAAUAAAUAUUUUGUGCUUGA